GGUUGGCGGACAGGGGAAGGAGCGAAGAUGGCGGAGUGAGGCGUGCCCCGGGCAGCUGGCCUGCGGGCCCGGGGCAGGCCUCCCGUGAGAAGCGGAGUACUUGUGCUGGACCGUGUGAGGUGAGCUGAGAAGUCCGUCUGUCUAUCGGGAGACGAGCAGCCGGUGGGGCGGCACAACUCGGGACGGGGUAGCGGCGAGCCUAAUGAGGGAGCCGGCGAGGCCUGGGCCUGACAGGGCUUUGCAUUCGCAGCCGCGUCCGGUCGGCUCCGCCGCCUCCGGGUAUGUGGCCGCGUCCUUCCCUUACCAGCGCUCCACGCCCUUCCUUGCGCCCUUCGCUUUGGCCGCUGCGUGCUUUGCCCUGGUUCUCUGAGUUGCACGUACGCCGGCCGUAUCGGGAAGCCGCUGUGUGCACCUCCCUUUUAUUUUUCUAAGACUAUCUCUGUAUUGUUUGACCCUUUACCGAAGGCGUCACCGGUUGAGGUUGACAGGCCUGUUGCAGCUCUGGGCAUUUUGUGUCCCUGGCGCGUUGACCUUGAGAUUUGCUGUAAGAGGCUCCCUCUGGUAUUUUCAUUUGAGUAUGUGUAUUACAGAUAGACUCUUGCAGCCUUUACCUCAUACUCGCCCCUGCCAAACUUUUAUGACCGUAGUAAGCAGCUUUGUCCUUGGACGUCCUGAUAAUGCCCUUAUGGCGCAUUAGUUUCGGCAAACGGGUCUCAGUGGAAUUCACCUAUGUUGAUUUCUUACCCAGGAUCAAGGGAAACGGCUUACGAUGCUUUUCUUUUCGUUUUUUUAGAACUAUAGUUCUGGAAGUACUGCUGGAAUCUCAUUUGUGUAGUUGGUGUACACUGGUGACAGUGUAGUACUAACAAGAUAUUUAUAUUUGAUUCUUAUUUAAUUUUAUCUCUUUGUAAUUGGGAGCCCCCUUACUUUUAUUGGUAUUCAGCUAAAUUCUCGGAAAGUCUUUGCUUCUGAAUUCUGGAUCGGGGAGACAUUUGCUGCGUGUGUUGGUGCUCAGGGCCAGAAAUUUACAUCUAUCAAAACCUUGUUUCAGAAAUAAACUGGCAUAUUAGUGAGAGCCAGUUCAAAUGGAAAAAUCAUAAUGUGAGUGAAUGUUUGUGAUAGAUUAUAUGGUUUUUGUUAGCCCUAGACUUAGCAGAGCUGAAGCAGGAAGCACUUGCUUAGGGGGUGAAAAAAAAACCAAAAAACAAAACCCCUCCCCUUUAGCACAAGUAGUUUUUCUUUUUAAUAUGAUCCACAAGUAGAAAAAAAUAGGUAUGAGCCAGAGGAAGGGAAUAUAACAUCCUUCCUCAUCUUAAAAAAGAGAAAGUCGUUUGCUUUCCACUAAAAGACAGCUCUACAUUACGGGAGGUUUUCUGCGGAGUUACAGUUUCUCGCCCCUCCAGAGAGACUACAGUAUCAUAUACAGUAUCAUAAACUCAGAGUUGCAUAAAGCUUCAGAACUUCUCCAAAAA
rnacentral:lncRNA from 1 species